rnacentral:misc_RNA from 1 species
AUAUCUUUAUCUGAAAGCAUGGUCAAGCUAACAUCUGUUGCCACAUUUGAAACUUGAAUUGAACUCUCGCUGUUGCACGUAUCACUUGAUCCAAGCUUGGUCCCUGAGAACACUCCUUAAACAAGAACGAUGUCAGUUUGAAAGCAAAAUUGGUGGUCAAGAUUAAUAUUUCAAUGGAAGAUAAAUAUUCUAUAUUAAGACUUGGAAGAUAAGAAUAAUAUUAUGAUCAUGGCCUCAAU